AUGGUGACACUGGCAGUCCUGGAGCGUAUCUAUAGAAAAUUCCCAGAUGUUGACCAGGGUUUAUAUGUUUCAAAGGUUGUUGAGGGAUCACCUGCUGAUGUUGCUGGAUUAUGUGUCGGUGAUGUUAUUGUAAAAUGCGGUGAAAAGGUUCUCUCGAGUGUUCCAGAGUUUGGUGCAAUAUUACUGGAUGCUGCCGUGAGUCAUAUUGAAGCUGAUGGAGGUUGUGAUGGGGGCAUGGCAAUCGAGGUUGUAAUAAAGCGACAAGGAGAUGGCAGCACGGUGUCAAAAACUAUAGCUGCAGAGAUGCUGGAAGAGAGCAAUUACAACAGGUGGCCUGCGCCGAUGCCAAGCUACAAGAUGCGCGUAGUAAAUGUCACGCCGCAAGGCAUAGGCGUCUACUAG
rnacentral:rRNA from 1 species